CCCGUGUUUAGACAUAGAAGGUAAUUAAUGUAGGCUUUAGAAGAGCCCGUCAUAUGUCUAUUAAUCUGAAAUUAAUAAUCCAUGGAACAGUAUCAAGAAACGAAAUAAAAGUAUUAUAAGAAGCACUACAUUAUCCCCCACUAGUCACUUUCAUGUCUGCUAUGGUGGCCAAAAAACAACAAUAAAGCAAACAAAAGAGAAUCCAAAAUACCAGGUCUAAACAAAGGAAAAAAGGCUGCCCAAUCAAAUAAAGAACCUGUAAAUACCCAAUAGUGGCUGCAAACACCGAGAAGACCUAAUCCAAUACCAAGAUGACCAAGAAGCAGCAGGAAGUGGACAGAAAGAGGUCAGAAAAAUCACUGACGAUGCCUGGGAAGGGAAACCUAAUAGAAACAGGUCACGUGCCUGCAUAAUGGUGCAUGAGGUUCACCCACUCAAAGAUCCGGCGCCAGAAUCUAGGGACAGGCCGGCCACACCCUGAUCUAGUGGUGGUGGCAGUGGGGCAAGAAGAGGAUCCUACGUGCGACAGUACCAAUUCAGGUUUAAAUCCAAUUUUUCCUCUUUAGGAUUCCAAAACCGUAGAUCUACCUUUUUGGUACUAAUCCAUCUAAGAGUCUUUCCACCUCUCACCGCCGGCACUAGGAGAAUUGUCGGACCGUCGCCGACCCGACUGCCUAGCUAUGACGCUAGAACGUGAAGCUCAUGCGCCUUCCCUUCCUGACGCGUGAUACAUCGCUUGAUGCUGCUUCGCCACUCCGAUCACUCCGGCGACGAUUACGAUCGUCUUUCUGGCUUGCCCAUGCUGCUACCCAGUCUUUUGGUGAUUCGGUUGGGCUCUCUUGUGUGUACAACCUUGGGUACCUCCUAUUCUUUUACGGUUCAUUUGUCUUUACGUUGGCAGAAGGUAAAAGGGUCUCGAUUCCUAACUCUGAUAAUCCUUCCUUGCAAAUGAGUCCCACAAAACUUGAUGGAAGCAGGGCUGUCACUGGUAAUAAGAAGCAACUGGAUUAGAGUGAUCCAGAUUUUCCUCAAUGGGACUCGGAUAAUUGUCUUGUUAUGACAUGGUUACUUAAUUCUAUGCAAUCUCAUAUCUAUAAGUCAUAUUUGUUGAUUGAUACUGCUACAAAAAUAUAGAAGGCCUUGUCCUUAACUUAUUCUAAGAUUGAGAAUAAUGCCUAAAUUUAUUAUAUUCAGAAUAAGAUCCAUGGUACUAAGCAAAGAGAAAUGACUGCCUCCCAAUUUUAUUCUGAAUUAUGUGGCUUAUGGCAGGAACUUAAUUACUAUCAAGACUUCCAAGCAAACUGUACUGGAGAUGCAGUCAAAUUUUGGAAAAUGAUUGAAAAUGAGGGAGUCUAUGAUUUUCUUGCAGGGUUGAAUAACGAAUAUGAUCCAAUUCGGGUCCAAGUGUUGGGAAGAAAUCUUUUUCCUUCUCUAGAAGAGGCCCACACCCAUGUUCAACAAAAGGAAAGUCAUCGACAUGCUAUGCUCUAUGCUGCACCAGUUGAAAAGGCUGGGUUCGCUACUAGUUUGAGCACACCGCAGCCUCAUAAUUCUAUGAAAGAUCACUUGCACUGUGACUAUUGUGGAAAACCGGGAUAUACCAAGGAGACUUGUUGGAAGUUACAUGGUCGUUCUACUAGAGGCCGUGGGGGGAAACGAGGUACCUCCAGAACUUAAGCUAAUUUAGCAAAAACUGUCGAGGAGCCCUUUAAAGAGACAACAGCGACCGAGUUCCUUUUCCCUAAUGAAAUUCAGAGUCUCAAGCGCCUCCUGUCUCAUAUUGACACCUCUUCAUCCUCCGGUGCUACAUCUAACUUUGUAAAGUCAGGUAAUGCUUCAUCUCUUGAUAAUGUUCCAUGAAUUAUUGAUUCUGGUGCGAAUAGACACAUGACAGGCUUUUCUAAAAGCUUUCUCAAUCAUUUUCCUUUUCUAACUAAAGAUAGUGUCAGAAUUGCUGAUAGCUCUUUUACCCCUAUAUCCAGAACAAGUUAUGUUAUUUGCACACUCAAUAUUAAAUUAUCAUCUGUCCUUCAUGUUCCCCGCUUUCCUACCAACCUUUUAUCUGUCAGUGCUAUCACCAAUGCUCUUAACUAUAAAAUUAAAUUCUUUCUUGAUCACUGUGUUAUUCAGGAUCUUCGCACAUGGAAGCGGAUUGGCAAUGGUAGGCUGCAUGAUGGCUUAUACAUAUUGGAAGCUGAUCCAGGUUCUCCGAUAUCUCAAGCCUAUUUUGGAGAAAAUAAAGAUGUCAAUGAGGAAAUAAUACAGUGGCACAGGCGGUUAGGGCAUCCAUCAUUUUUUUGUCUUAGCAAAACUUUAUCCUAGUUUGUUUGCUAGAACUCAGUUUGGUUCUUUAUUUUGUGAUGUUUGUGUGUAUGCUAAGCACACUAGGACCUCCUAUCCUUUGAGUCAGAAUAAAAGCCAAAUUCCUUUUGUGACUAUUCAUUCUGAUGUUUGAGGGUCUAAUCAAACUAUCUCCUUAUCUGAUAAUCGAUGGUUUGUCACCUUUAUUGAUUAUUGCACUCGAAUGACUUGGGUCUAUUUGAUUAAAGAUAAAAGUGAUGUCUUUUCUUGUUUUCAAUCCUUUCAUAAGAUGAUUUGUACUCAAUUUCAUACUAAAGUGAAAAUUUUGAGAACUGACAAUGAAAGAGAAUACAUGGAUAGUAGUUUUUCUGUUUAUUUGGAGAAUAAUGAGAUAGUACACCAAACUAGUUGUCCUUAUACUAGUACUCAAAAUAGCAUUGUUAAAAGAAAAAAUAUGCAUCUAUUGGAGGUAGCUCGAUCUCUUAUAUUCACUAUGAAUCUAUCCAAAGCAUAUUGGGAAGAUACAGUCCUUGUAUCUACUUAUCUUAUUAAUAAAAUGCCCCUCAAGAACUUUGACUCCAUGAGUCUUUUGGAUGUUCUACAAGGGAAAAAUUUAUACAUUAUUCCACCAAAAGUAUUUGGGUGUAUUUGCUUUGUCCAUACUAGGACGGUGAGAAAGUUGGACUCCAAGGCCCUUAAAUGUGUGUUUGUUGGAUAUUCUCCGACACAGAAGGGAUACAGAUGUUAUCACCCUCCAUCUAGGAAAUACUUUGUCAAUAUGAAUGUUACCUUCCGAGAGACUGAACCCUACUUCAGUACCACCCACUCACCUCUUCGGGAGAAGAAUAAUGAGCAAGAAGAGGUGAUCCCAAAUUCUGUGAUUCUGAAUGAUAUCAGCUAGAGAGUUUGAGUUCUAGUAGAUAUAGGGAGAUGUCCAAUCAGAGGGAGAGAAUUGGACGUUUAGACAAGCCAGAUUUGAGGAGAUAUUCGAAGAGACACAAGGCAGAAGAAGCCAUUAUGCCAGUCUACUCAUAGUCAAAAAUUUUCUUCUGGUGAGUUACCCACAACUCUUGAAUGCUCCAAUGAUUUAAAUAAACCUAUUACACAAAGAAAAAGAGUCUAAUCUUGUACUAAACACCCUAUUUCUAACUUUGUUGUUAAAUUUGGGCUAAGCUCAACUCACCCCAAAAGCCAGCUCAAGGGGAAGGAGUGCCUAUGGCCCAUAGAAGAAGUACAUUACCCCUUUCUACAACCCAUGUAGGAUUCAACACUCUCCUCACGCCUAGAAUUUUACUGGUGCAUGACAUAUUUGUUGAAUCCCACAUCGGUUGUGGAAAGGGGUAAUGUGCCCCUUAUAUGGGCCAUAGGCACUCCUCCCCCAUGAGCUAGCUUUUAGAGUGAGUUAGACUUGACCCAAAUUUAACAUGGUAUCAGAGUCUCCCAUCCGAUAUCGCGCCUCCUAUAAAUAUGUCACGCACCAGUAAAAUUCUAGGCAUUGAGGGGUGUAUUGAAUCCCACAUCGAUUGUGGAAAGGGGUAAUGUGCCCCUUAUAUGGGCCAUAGGCACUCCUCCCCCAUGAGCUAGCUUUUAGGAUGAGUCUGGCCCAAAUUUAACAAUAUUUAUAGGAGACCCAACAUCGGAGGGAGAGGCUCUCAUACCAUGUUAAAUUUGGGUCAUGCCUAACUCACCCCAAAAGCUAGCUCAAGGGGGAGAAGUGCCUAUGGCCCAUAUAAGAGACACAUUACCCCUUUCCACAACUCAUAUGGGAUUCAACAUUUCUUAUGAAUCCUUGUCUCCCUCCUAUAGAGCCUUUGCCUUGUCUAUUUCCUCUGUAUCUAUUCCACAAGAUUGGAAGGAAGCUCUUGCAGAUCCUAAAUGGAAGGAAGCAAUGAUUGAAGAGAUGAAAACAUUGACUAAAAAUGAGACCUGGAAGCUUGUCGCUCUCCCACCUGGGAAGAAACUCGUUGGCUGUAAGUGGUGUUCAUAGUGAAACACAAAGUUGAUGACACGGUUGAACGGUUUAAGGGCAGAUUAGUUGCUAAAGGAUUCACCUAAACCUAUAGAGUGGAUUAUCAAGAGACAUUUGGCCUAGUUGCAAAAAUGAACUCAAUCAGAGUCCUAUUAUCUUGCGCAGCCAAUUUGGACUGGGACUUGCAAUAGUUUGAUAUGAAGAAUGCUUUCCUCUAUGAAGAUUUAGAGGAAGAAGUAAUCAUGGAGAUCCCUCUUGGGUUCGCUGAUGAGAAGAUACAAGGAAAGGUGUGCAUAUUAAAAAAGGCUUUGUAUGUGCUAAAACAAUUUCCCAGAGCUUAGUUUGACAAGUUUUGCAGAGCCAUGAUGUCCUUUGGUUACUAACAGAGCAAUGCCGAUCACACUCUGUUUAUCAAACAUCACAAGGGUAAUAUUAUCCUUCUUGUGUAUGUUAGAUGAUAUAGUGGUGACAGGUGAUGACAAAGAGAAAAUGGCUCAACUAAAAAGGUUGUUGGCUCAAGAAUUUGAAAUCAAAGAUAUAGGAAAAUUGCAAUAUUUCCUAGAUAUUGAGGUGGCUAGAUCAGAAAAAGGAAUCUUCAUCUCCCAAAGAAAGUACAUUCUGAAUCUUUUAGAAGAAAUUGGUAUGUUGGGGUAUAAACUAGCAGAAUCUCCCAUUAAAAGUAAUCACAAGCUGGAAGCAGUAACUGGUGAGUCUGUGGAUAUUGGAGGAUACUAGAGAUUGGUAAGAAGGUUGAUUUAUCUCUUGCACAAUCGACCGCAUAUAGCCUAUGCUGUUAGCUUAGUCAGCCAAUUCAUGUAUGACCCUCACGAGACUCAUAUGCGGCCUGUACUUCGCAUCUUGAGAUACCUAAAGUCUGCACCAGGAAAAGGGUUUCUUUACUCCAAACAUGGUCACCCCCGAGUUGAAGCUUUUAUAGAUGCAGAUUGGGUAGAAUCUCUCAAUGACAUGAGAUCCACUUUUGGCUACUGUACAGUUGUGGGAGGGAACUUUGUCCCCCGGAGGAGCAAAAAACAAAGUGUUGUUGCUCAGUUAAGUGCUGACGCAGAACACAGAGCAAUGGUCCAAGGUGUGUGUGAACUCUUAUGGUUGCAUAAGUUAUUGGAGGAGCUGAGGCUGUCCGAGAAGGACAAGAUAACUUUAUAUUGUGACAACAAAGCUGCCAUCAGUAUAGCACAAAAUCCAGUUCAACAUGAUCAGACGAAGUACAUUGAGAUUGAUCUGCACUUCAUUAAAGAAAAAUUAACUGACGGUGUCUUGAGCUUAGUUCAUAUGACUUCUGCUGGGCAACUUGCGGAUGUGUUUACUAAAGGCUCAACAAUAAGAUCUAUCAUAAUCUGAUUUGCAAGUUGGGCAUGUGCGAUAUUUUUGCACCAAUUUAAGGGGGAGUAUUGACUUAUUUGCUGAUUCUAGGAAUAUGAUUUGAUUUGAUUAGGAUCCUUAAUUAUCGCUGUAAUUAUCAUUUGAUUAUUUGCUUUUUAUUUAGAUAUAAUUCUUUGUAUAUAAAUAGUAAUGUAAAUCAGUUGUAAAGAUCAAGAGUGAUACAAGAAUACUCAAAACUUUCUCAAAAUUCUUCAAUGCCUGGGAAGAGAAACCUGACAGAAACAGAUCAUGCACCAGCAUAAUGGUGCAUGAGGUUCACGCACUCAGAGAUCCGGCGCUAGAACCUAGGGAUAGGCCGGCCACACUCCGAUAACCCUAGUGGUAGGGCAAGAAGAGGAUCCUAGGUGCAGCAGUACCAAUUCAGGCAGUUAGGAUUCCAAAAACCCUAAAAUUGAAAUUGAUUUGAAACCCUAAAAUCAGGUUUAAGGUUAUGAUACCAUGAAGAAUUUGAGAGAGUUUUUAUUUCUAUAAUAAUUCUUUACAAGCUAUAUAUAUUCUAAUUCACACAUAAAGAGUCAAAGCUAAUAAGAAAAUUACAAAGAAUUUAAUUUCUACAAUUAUGCUUUCUAAUUUAAACUAAAAUUAUGGCCUAAAGAUCUCCUCA
rnacentral:lncRNA from 1 species